AUGACUUUUGAUUCUUGGUUCUUGAGGUGGUAUAUUACUCUGAAGCACUUCAAUUCUUGGCUCUGGCUAAGCAUAAUAUAUUACUUUAUUACUGAGAUUUGGCUACUAAUGAUAUAUGUUACCAUUGUUUUUGUUGUCUUUGAUAGUAUAAAAGAUCGGAAGUGCAUCAGCUAUCACUGCUCCUGUUUGUUGUAUGGGUUUCACAUCGUUGUCAAUUUUGAUGUGUUUCACGGGAUGAAUGAUGCGUCAGAUUCUUCUAAAACUGCCACUAUUCAGUAUGUAUCCGUCGCAACCCUAAGUUAUGUCUGUCAUGCAUUCAUUAUCUUUAUUUUUUGA
rnacentral:rRNA from 1 species